rnacentral:rRNA from 1 species
AAUUUUAGAAUUAUUAAAGUUUAUUAAUUUAUUUUUUUAUAAAAAAAGUAAUUUUAUUUUUAGUAUAUUCUUAGAAUAAAUAUAUAUGUAUAUAUAAUUAUAGUGUAAUAGUAUUGUGAAAGAAUUUUGAAAUUUGUGUGAAAGAAAAAUUAAGUUUUUGUACCUUGUGUAUCAGGGUUUAUCAAAUAAAAUUUAUAUAGAUUAAAUUUCUCGAAUUUAAAAGAGUUAUAAAUAUAUAAUUUUUAUUGUAUUAUAAAUAUUAUUAAUAUAUUUAUGGAAGUGAAAUGCUAUGCGAUUUUAAAUAUAUCUAGUUUUUUAAGAAAAAAAUUUAAUUUUAUUUUUAUUUAUUAUAAAUUUAAGUUGAUAAUUUUAUAGUAGUAAAAUUUUAUAUUUUAUGGGAUGAGCUUUAAAAUAGAAGUAUAUAAUUAAUUUUUAAAUUUAAAUUAAAAAGUAGGAUUGAAAGUUUUUAUCUUUUUUAGUGUUUUAUAACUAUUUAAUUUAGUAUUAAGAUUUUUAUGAAAUUUAUAUAUUUUAUUAAAAUAUAAAUUUAAAUUUUGUAGAUUUAGAAAAAAUGAUAAAAUUAGUAUAAUAGAAAGUCUAUUUGUAAUUUAGAUUUUAGGUUAAAUAAAGGAAUUCGGCAAAUUAAUUUUUCACCUGUUUAUUAAAAACAUGGCCUUUUGUUUAUAAUUUAAGGUCGGACCUGCCCAAUGAAUUAAUUAAAUGGCCGCGGUAUUUUGACCGUGCAAAGGUAGCAUAAUCAUUAGUUUUUUAAUUGAAAGCUUGUAUGAAGGGUUUAAUGAAAAAAUAGCUGUCUCUAUUUAAAUUUAUUAGAAUUUUAUUUUUAAGUAAAAAAGCUUAAAUUUAUAUAAAAGACGAGAAGACCCUAUAGAGUUUUAUAUUUUUUUUGAAUAAAAGAGUUAGGAAUUUUAAUAUUUUAUUUAAAAAGAGUAUUUAGUUGGGGUGAUUAAAAAAUUUAAAGAACUUUUUUUGUAUCUAAACAUUGAUUUAUGAAUAAUUGAUCCUUUGUUAAGGAUUAAAAGAUAAAAUUACCUUAGGGAUAACAGCGUAAUUUUUUUUAAGAGUUCAAAUCUAAAAAAAAGAUUGCGACCUCGAUGUUGGAUUAAAAUAAAAUAUUGGUGUAGAAGCUAAUAUAUUAGGUCUGUUCGACCUUUUAAAUUUUACAUGAUCUGAGUUUAAACCGGUGUAAGCCAGGUUGGUUUCUAUCUUUAUAAAUAUAUGGUAUCUUAGUACGAAAGGACCGGAUAUUAAAUUAAAAAUUUAUUUUAAGAAGAUUAUUAAUU